CCGCGACAAUGAGCAGGUGAGUUUUAUCUCUGCUUUGUCUACUGGGCAGAGUUUACACCAGACUUUUAUUUUGAAGGCCAAUAGAACAACUACUGUUCAUGUUGAUGUUUGAGACAGAAGCUGCUGCAGCUCAGACUGAGUCUGUGUCUGACAACAGUACGACAGGAUUCCUACAGUUUAACCACAAACAUCUCUACUGACAAAACCGUGGUUUAACCAGCAGCUGCUACUGUGUGGUGCUUUUACUUCAGUAACACAAACACAGUUGUCGACAUAAUUUAUAUGUCAAAUAACAGACUGUUUAUUUUGCUGAUUUUCCAUCAGAUCCAUUUAUUUUGGCUGCUCAUGCAAACUGUGCUGCUGCAGUUCAUGUUUAACCUCUGUGCAUACAUGUCCAUAAUAAAUACAUGUAAAUACAGUGUAAAGAGUCCAGAGAAUCAAACUACAGUCCUGCUCUCAGUCUGAAUCAUCAGGUUCAUGGUGUGAAAGGAAGUCAGUCAGUCAGAGAUCAAUCAGUCAGUCAGUCAGAGAUCAGUCAGUCAGUCAGAGAUCAGUCAGUCAGUCAGAGAUCAAUCAGUCAGUCAGAGAUCAGUCAGUCAGUCAGAGAUCAGUCAGUCAGAGAUCAGUCAGUCAGUCAGAGAUCAGUCAGUCAGUCAGUCAGAGAUCAGUCAGAGAUCAGUCAGUCAGUCAGAGAUCAGUCAGUCAGAGAUCAGUCAGUCAGUCAGAGAUCAGUCAGUCAGAGAUCAGUCAGUCAGUCAGAGAUCAGUCAGAGAUCAGUCAGUCAGAGAUCAGUCAGAGAUCAGUCAGAGAUCAGUCAGUCAGAGAUCAGUCAGUCAGUCAGAGAUCAGUCAGUCAGUCAGAGAUCAGUCAGUCAGAGAUCAGUCAGUCAGUCAGAGAUCAGUCAGUCAGAGAUCAGUCAGUCAGUCAGAGAUCAGUCAAUCAGUCAGUCAGAGAUCAGUCAGUCAGUCAGAGAUCAGUCAGUCAGUCAGUCAGAGAUCAGUCAGAGAUCAGUCAGUCAGUCAGAGAUCAGUCAGUCAGAGAUCAGUCAGUCAGUCAGAGAUCAGUCAGAGAUCAGUCAGUCAGAGAUCAGUCAAUCAGUCAGUCAGAGAUCAGUCAGAGAUCAGUCAGUCAGUCAGAGAUCAGUCAGAGAUCAGUCAGUCAGUCAGAGAUCAGUCAGUCAGUCAGAGAUCAGUCAGUCAGAGAUCAGUCAGUCAGUCAGAGAUCAGUCAGAGAUCAGUCAGUCAGUCAGAGAUCAGUCAGUCAGAGAUCAGUCAGUCAGUCAGAGAUCAGUCAGUCAGUCAGUCAGAGAUCAGUCAGAGAUCAGUCAGUCAGUCAGAGAUCAGUCAGAGAUCAGUCAGUCAGUCAGAGAUCAGUCAGUCAGAGAUCAGUCAGUCAGUCAGAGAUCAGUCAGUCAGAGAUCA